AGUGAACGCUGGCGGUAGGCCUAACACAUGCAAGUCGAACGGCAGCACAGUAAGAGCUUGCUCUUACGGGUGGCGAGUGGCGGACGGGUGAGGAAUACAUCGGAAUCUACUUUUUCGUGGGGGAUAACGUAGGGAAACUUACGCUAAUACAGCAUACGACCUACGGGUGAAAGCAGGGGAUCUUCGGACCUUGUGCGAUUGAAUGAGCCGAUGUCGGAUUAGCUAGUUGGCGGGGUAAAGGCCCACCAAGGCGACGAUCCGUAGCUGGUCUGAGAGGAAGAACAGCCACACUGGAACUGAGACACGGUCCAGACUCCUACGGGAGGCAGCAGUGGGGAAUAUUGGACAAUGGGCGCAAGCCUGAUCCAGCCAUACCGCGUGGGUGAUGAAGGCCUUCGGGUUGUAAAGCCCUUUUGUUGGGAAAGAAAAGCAGCAGGUUAAUACCCCGCUGUUCUGACGGUACCCAAAGAAUAAGCACCGGCUAACUUCGUG
rnacentral:rRNA from 1 species